UACAGAGGGGGCAAGCGUUGUUCGGAAUUACUGGGCGUAAAGGGCGCGUAGGCGGCCUUCUUAGUCGAACGUGAAAUCCCCGGGCUCAACCCGGGAACUGCGUCCGAUACUGGAAGGCUCGAAUCCGGGAGAGGGAUGUGGAAUUCCAGGUGUAGCGGUGAAAUGCGUAGAUAUCGGGAGGAACACCAGUGGCGAAGGCGACUACCUGGCCUGUUUCUUGACGCUGAGGCGCGAAAGCUAGGGGAGCAAACGGG
rnacentral:rRNA from 1 species